CUCUGCCGCUGGGACACGCCGCCGCCAGGUGCGCCGGGGACUUAGGCAGUGCCGCGCCGCACGGCCCGCGCCGGUUUCCAAGGUGAAGGAGGAGGAGCCUCUGAGGGAAAGUUUCCACAGAAACUUGAGCUGGGCGCAGUGUAGCACUCGCGCCCUUGGGGGCUAGCGUUUGGCCGGAGCUACACACUCUUUACUCACGCACGCACACCGCCGUACACAGCACAAUCGUUCACCGUCCCGCCAAAGGCUCGUCUCUCGGGUUCUGCCUAGUGGAAGGAGUCGGACAACGCCGCACGUCACGGGCGUUUCGGAUUUCUUGCUUCCCAAAGGUUUGACGGCGGCCACCGGCGCCCCGGCCCAGCUCUGCUUUCCUUUGCUGACUCCUUCCUUUAGGUGUGAAUUUUAAAAUGCUGAUACCGCCCCAAGAGAGCUGAGUCAAGUGAGGCAAACGUUCGCCUGUUGUUCUCCUGACAGACUCCCUGCAGUGGGCAGGGGAAAUGUGGCCUUGGCCGACAUUAAUGAAGUGCCAGGAUGGAGGGAGGGGGCCUGCUGAUUUGUUCUGUUUUACUUUUUAAGGGUAACUAGAGCGUUACUGGAGUCGUCUGUGGGUUUGGGGAGUAUGUGGCGCGUGUGUGUGUCACACAUUUCACUGGCAACUCCCGCCAACCCCUUCCCAAGAAAUGAAGGCUCUAAUGUGGGCAGUUCUGCAACAAAGGUGAAACUUCCCCAAAUCACGAUUCCCCGCAAGAUGAGAGAGCAGGUGCAGCAUCCAUUUUCCCACUAUCACGCUUGAGAUGGUGGCUUUGGGCACUGCCGGGUGCCCCGACAUCCUUCCCAGAGCCCAGCCUUCCCACCCAGGCCCGGCCCUGCGCGGCCGCCUGCCUUUGCAUCAGAGACCGCGGCUGUGCCAUUGCCAAGGUGGGCAGCGCCGCCUCGCUUCCCCAUUCCUCCGUCUCCCACGCCUCUUGCGUGUUUGAGUCGCGAAGUGAUGGACUUUAAAUCUCAGAGGAGGAAUGAGAAACUUGGUUAGUGGCUCUCUUGGCAUGUUCGUAGCCCUGUGGUUGAAGUGGCUGAAACCUGCGUUGAGCCUCAGUCCAAGCAGCUGGGGCCACACCAGUUUGCAAAAGCGGAUGUGGCAGUUUCCACCGCAGCAGCAGCCUGCUGGCGCCUCAUCAGAUUCUCCUUUGGAGGAAGUAUCUUCUUCCCUUCAUUCUCGGUGAAUGGCAUCCAGAGAUAACCAAAAUCAGGUGUAUCUAGUUUCAAGUUCUGUCUUGCAACCGUGAUAAUUGGAGGAUGCAAACUUUACACUUUCUUCUCUAGCUGUCUACCACCACUGCUGCGCUUGUGGAUGACUGCAGGAACACCGGGUACUUGCCACAAGUAUCUCUCCAGAUUCAUCAGCCUUUCACCUGUGACAAGCUCAGUCAAGAAGUGGCUCCUAAGUAAAAGCUGGGGAAGAACAAGGAAGAUAGAGCUCAGAGUAGAAAGCUGUGAAGUUCUGCACAACAGGUCCCCUUGGCCUGCUCUAACAGUUGGAAGGUGGGGGAAGCAUUCAUUUACUCAACAAAUAUAUACUGAGUGCCUUUUGCAUGCUAGGCACGCUUCUAGGGGUUGAGGACACAGCAGAGAGCACAAACAACAAUUCCAGCCCUCGUGGAGCUUACCUCUUCCACGUGGGAAAGACAGAUGGUAAAUGUAUAAGGACAAUAUAUGGACUGCUGUAUGAUUAGAAAUGCUAUGGAGAGGCUAGGAGUGCUGUCUCAUGCCUGUAAUCCCGCAGUUUGGGAGGCCAAAGGAGGAGGAUCACUUGAGGCCAGAAGUUGGAGACCCAACCUGGGCAACAUAGUAAGACCCCCUAUCUACAAAAAGUUUAAAAAUUAGCCAGGCAUGGUGGCGUGCACCUGUAGUCCUAGCUAUCCAGGAGGCUGAGGUGGGAGGAUCACUUGAGCCCACUGCAUUCCAGCCUGGGUGACAGAGUGAGACCCUGUUUUGAAAGAAAGAAAGAAAUGCUGUGGAUAAAAAUUAAGCAGAGAGGGUACAUAGAAAGUAUGAGGGGUGCUAUGUUCGGAGAGGGGUGAUGAUCAAGGAAAGCUUCUGGAGGAGGUAACAUUUGAGGAACGACUUGAGGGAGGUUAGGGAUAUCUGAGCAGACAACUUCCCAGGCAGAAAGCAUAGCAAAUGUAAAGGCCCUGAGGCAGGAGUAUGCCUAAGUGUACUAGGAGCAAUCCAGAAGGCACCAUGAAAGAAUGGAGAAGAUGAAGUCAAAGAAGUGAAAGGUGGGGGUGAUGCAGAUCAGGUAAGGCUUUUACUCUGAGUGAGUUGGUUGGAGCCAUUGGAGGAUUUUGUGUAGAAAAGUGACACUUUCUGACAUUGUAAUUGGAUCACUUUGACUGCUGGGUUAAGAAUAAACAGUAGGGUGUAAGGGUAGAAGCACAGAGACUGGUUAAGAGGCUACUAAAAUAAUCUAGGGUCAGCCGGGUGCGGUGGCUCAUGCCUGUAAUUCCAGCACUUUGGGAGGCCAAGGUGGGUGGGUCACAAGGUCAGGAGAUCAAGACCAUCCUGGCCAACAUGGUGAAACCCCGCCUCUACUAAAAAUACAAAAAAUUAGCCAGGUGUGGUGGCACGCACCUGUAGUCCCAGCUACUCAGGAGGCUAAGGCAGGAGAAUCACUUGAACUCAGGAGGCGGAGGUUGCAGUGAGUAGAGGUUGCAGUGAGCCGAGAUUGCACCACUGCACUCCAGCCUGGGCGACAGAGCGAGACUCCAUCUCACAAAAAGAUAAUAAUAAUAAUUGAGGGACAAGAAGAUAGAGAUGUGGACCAGAGAAAUAGUGGUAGAGAUGAUAAGCUGAUGGUUUCCUCACAUUGGAUGUGGGGUAUAAAGGAAGGAGAUGAGAAGGACUCUGAGGCUUUUGGCCUGGGCAGCAUAAGGAUGGAACUGCUAUAACAAAGUUGGAGAAGACUUCAAAAGGAGGUUAGGGUAAAAUCAAGGCAGGAAGGAGAGGCGCAUAAUUUGAAUGUGGGCAGCGUAAGGACGGAACUGCUAUAACAAAGUUGGAGAAGACUUCAAAAGGAGGUUAGGGUAAAAUCAAGGCAGGAAAGGAGAGGCGCAUAAUUUGAAUGGUCUUCAGUUUCUUCAACUUAUAAAAUGAAAGUAAUACCUACUUUGUUAAGGUUGUUUUAGGAUGACAAAUUAGCAUAGUGAAGUGUAUAACACAAUGCCUAAUACAUGAUAGACACUUAAGAAUGUUAGUUCCCUCUCUACAAAUAUGAAUUUCAUUCAUAUCCAUUAUGCCCUCUGGGAGUGAAACAGACUCAUUCUUUUGAGGAAAUAAGUCUUGCUAAAGGUAAAGGGGCUGUCUCCUUCUCCCAUUCUUGCCAUAUGACACUGUCUGCUCUCUCUUUGUCUUCCACCAUGAAGACAGGCAUGGUAGCUCAUGUGGAAGCUUCCCGAGGCCCUCACCCAGAAGCAGAUGCUGGAGCCAUGCUUGUACAGCUUGCAGAACU
rnacentral:lncRNA from 10 species